UUUGGAUCAUUUUGUAUGGAAUGUUAUUUCAUGUUUGUUUUAAAGAGGGGGGAAGAUGGAAAGAAAAGAGCAUUAAACUAAGAGAUGUAGUUAAUAAAGGUGUGAACAAAGGUUAUGAUACAGUUUCCCUUCCAGCAAUAUUCAAGUAAACUAUUUUAAAUCUUUGGUGAUUUUUUGUAAGAUUUUUUUGCAGAAACCAGUUAGCUUUGGGAGAACUCAUAAGCUUAGCUGUUUACAUGAUCCCAUCUCGUAUUGUCAAUAAUAAAUGGUCCAAUUGUGUGUAAUAUACCACACUUUAUUUUGUAUUUAGUUAGUAAUUGGCAAUUUAAUGACAUAAGCAGAAGCCCUUGUAAAUACUAUAAAACAUACUUCAGUGUAAAUUGUCAUCUGGAAAAUAGGAAAUCCUUUUCACUUUGCAUGCACUGAUCUUUCCAGUUAUGUUGCUGUUUUCUCAGACCAAAAUGUCGAAAUCUGACAAUCCUUCACACAAAGAGAAGAAAACAGAUACAUCAGAUAUGAAGAAACAAUCUGACAAUGAGAGAGAAGAGGAGUCAGGACCUCCCAACACUGACCGGCUUGCUGCUGGUGUUGAUAAACUCACUAUUAAGGAGUCAACACCAUCAUCAGACAGGGAUCAAAUCAGAGUCAAGUUUUUGAUCAAUGUCCCAGUGGGCGUUACACCUGAGAUGAGUGAAAGCAAGGAAUCACAUUGCCAGACAUUUCUUGAUCUUCUAAGGAGAACAGCUUUCAAGCCAUAAGAUGAAUUUCGUUAUAAUGAUAUUGCUGUCGUUUUUGGUCUUAAUGGAAAGGAGUCAGAUAGAGGUGCCACAGGUGCCACGGAAGGUGCCACAGGUGAUUCAAAAGGUGACACAGAUACAGAAAGUGACACAGAUGCAGAAGGUGACACAGAUACGGAAAGUGACACAGAUACGGAGAGUGACGCAGAUACGGAAGGUGCCAUAGAUACGGAAUUUGAAAAGCCAAUUCAUUCUAAAAUUGUUUUUGAAAAAUUCAAAUUUACAUGGCAAAAGUUGAAGGUCAGAAAGGGGAUCAAAAAUGGAUCGAAAGUGAAAACAAUCCCAUAUCGAAUAAUCAGAGAAAAAGUUAAAAGUCACGAACACACCAGGAAUUUAGUUAAACAAUUUAGGACAGAAAGCCCGGAAUGCAAAAUCUAUUUCUGCUUUUUUGACGCAGACGCAGUCGAUUUUAAUCAUGUGUUGAGCUCUUACAUAGAUGUAAUCCACGAGCACAAGUACCCAACAGUGAUGUCAACUGGUUAUGUGUUCCCUGAGGGCAGUGAGAACAGAGAAAACAGUGAACGUGAUCGACAGGUGCGGAUAAAAACAGCUGAACACUUUCCUCUGGGCACUUACUACCCAGAGGCCAAUUUCUGUGUGCUUCUACCUGAUGAAGAAGACACUCUUCCUGAGAAGUUUGAUUAUCCAAGAGAUUCGAAUAAUGACAUGGAAUCUCCAAAUUUGAUAACUCAAGUUAAAACACGUGAAGGCUUCAAAGCGGUGUUUGCAGACAAAAAUCCAAUUGUUACUCCUAACCUUACUUCAUCGAAGAAACAGUUUCACACUGAUCCAUGGACCUGGGCAACUGGUGCUAAUAUACACAAAGAAUUUGCACUAACUAGACACCAGGAAAAGGAGGUAAAAAAAUAUAAAAAAAUGAUUAUAAAAAAUAAAUAUAAAGACGACCGUAUGGUAAAUGGUGAGCAUACUCGUUUGUUAAUGAAUCUGGUAAAAGAUCUUAGAAAAGAGCAUAGAAAACAAUUUCAAGGACCUGGCACUGAUCAAGUAUUCGAGGCAGCAAGAGCUGUUCGGAAAUUACUUGAACAGCAAAAUGAGACACAGAUCGAGGAUCCACCUGCAGUUUAAUAGGGUCUAUACAAAAACUAUAAUCCAAAAAUACAGGCGGAUGUAAAAUUCCUAAUAAUCAAUCCACAAAGAAAAAACUGAAAAACACAGGAAAUAAACAAAGAAAACAAGGCAGAGAGGCAGCGUGACAUUAACAAAACUACAUGAGCAAUGACAUAAGACCAGUUUAAAUAAACAUAAAGCAGGUCUAAGGAGGCACAGAUGACAUUAAUCAACAGUCAUGAGUACAGCAAAGGGUUAUGGGAAAUGGAGUCCAGAAUAAAUAACAGAGGUAUGGGAUGUAGCGCCCUCUUGUGGUUGAUCCCAAGCCAACAUUUAUGCAGAAUAAUGUAUGUUGUGCCCCUAUAUGCUUAUUGAAUGGGUGGGUUACAGGUCUCCACCUUAAACAUGUGUGGAUCUGAACAAAUUAUUAAUCAACAUUUAUCUUUCAAUAACAAUAACGAUUUAAAUAUGAUUAAGAUCUGAUCAGUACCUUUUGUGAUUAUGUUACAAGAAUUAUUGAGUGUUACCAGAAUAGUUCCUAGUUUGUUUUCCAAGGAUGUAUAUUCUUUCUAUGUUGUCAUGACUGUAUGAAAAAGAGAUAGACAGGUGUACUGACAUGUAAAAACGUGCAGAGGCUCUUUCCUUGAUUCAAAGUGCCAUCAGAAUAUUAAAUAUAGCUCAUUUACGGGUUAGACUUCCUAAAGAAAUGUGUUUUGUCAUAAAGUUUUGAGAACAUUCUGCCGAUCAGAGAGAAACACAUGUGUACUUAUGUAAUGACAGAUGAAUUGUUUCUGUUAUCAUUAAUACUACUGUACAGAUGUAACAGCAGGUCGGCCUGUGGAACUCCUCAUGAGUGCUGAAGCUGACCUCUGCUUGUGUUUCUUCAGUAAAUGUUGUUUGAUCAUCUUCA